GGACGAAUCUUUCUUGGCCGGCGAGAGCUGAUGCAGCGCAGAUACAAGAUUCGAGGACGAAUCUUUUCUUGGCCGGCGAGACCUGAUGCAGUGUAUAUUUGGAUAAUUCCAAAUAUCUUUAUUAUUUCCUAAUAUCUUUAUUUACUUAUUUAGAUAAUUUCUAUUUAUUGUUUUAUGAAUAUUCUAGAGUUUUUAGAUUUAUUAUAAAUAAGGCUUUUAGGCCUAGGGUUGUAUACAAUUGAUUUGAUUAAUAAAAUUAAAGAGCUUUUAGUUUUUCAGAGAAG
rnacentral:lncRNA from 1 species